GUCCUCAUGUAGUAAUAGUUUCCAGUUUCUCUAAACUGUAAUAUAUAUUUAUUUCUCUUUGACAUACCGACAAGUGACAAUGUUUAUAAAAAAGCUAACUUUCGCGCGUUUCACUCUGUCUUUGUGUUUUAGGUUUUCGGCUAUGCUGUUUAGUGGAAUCAGCAUUAGUCACCGAAAAAAUUUCUGCAGACUGUUUGAGAAAACAGCAUCCUGUAAGUAAAUGAGCGAGACAACAUUUACAUUUACACUUUAUUAAACAAGCACAUUGUGAGAGGAUGAGAAACACGGCGGUGAAUUAUAGUUUUCAUACAGUUUACAGCAAUGGAAAGACACCCAGAUAGAAAGGAGGAGUAAACAGGGACUGAGAAGGUGUACAAGACAGAUGUCAAUCUGAAAAGAGAGAGCGAUCACAAACAUUUGUGGUAGAGACAGAGAGAGAACAGGCAAGCAAAGGAGAAAUCAAGAAAAACGUAGUGCAAGCAAGCAGCCCAAGGAGAGGCUUAGUAGUGUACUGCAUGGACAGUCUACAAAUGCUUUAAAAUGUUUUCAUAAAGAAGAGAGUAAAAUUGAUCCACAAUAAUUCUUUAUAUCAAAAAUAUAUCAAUGGGUCUAUGACUACAUGAAAUAGAGAAAGCACAUACAAUAUUAAAUAUUUACAUUUUGUAUGUGAGUAUUCAUCAAAUCCUUAUAUACAUAAAAAUUUAGUCCCAAACAGUA